AAUAUUUUUCACUCCUUAGGCUAUGUUUUCUGGCAAUGAACAUAGAAAGAAGUUUUGCUUGACAGAGAAGGUUUGGGGAGCUGGUUUCUUCUUUAUCUACCUGGUACUUAUCAUGAAAGUAAAUAAUGGUUAUAGAAGGCACUCAUUCAUCACUCAGUCAUCUCUGUCAUAACUCAAUUGCUGCAACAGUGGUACCACUUCUACACAUGCUAUGAAAGAACCAGCAUAAUCACUCUUUAAAGUCAUUACAGAUUAAACAAAUAACAGUGAAGCACAUUUUGGUAAACGUUUAUUUUU
rnacentral:lncRNA from 1 species